GCUGGGUGCGGUGGCACACGCCUGUAAUCCUAGCAACUCAGGAGGCUGAAGCAGGAGGUGCUCACAAGUUCGAGGCCAGUCUCAGUAACUUAGUGAGACCCUGUCUCAA
rnacentral:sRNA from 1 species